AGCCGAAUGGUGAAGUGGUAUCACACCUUACUCACAAGACCGGUGAGGGGGUGGGUUGGUCGGGCAGGAACCAAUGAUCCGGGGGUAGUAAGGAGAUCGGGGGUUCGAUCCCCUCUUCGGCUG
rnacentral:tRNA from 1 species